rnacentral:tRNA from 1 species
GGGGUUGUGGCUCAGCAGUAGAGCACUCGCCUAGCACAGGCGAGGGCCUGGGUUCGAUCCUCAGCACCACG